GGAAUCUUCCACAAUGGGCGCAAGCCUGAUGGAGCAACACCGCGUGAGUGAAGAAGGGUUUCGGCUCGUAAAACUCUGUUGUUAAAGAAGAACGUAUCUAAGAGUAACUGCUUAGGUAGUGACGGUAUUUAACCAGAAAGCCACGGCUAACUACGUGCCAGCAGCCGCGGUAAUACGUAGGUGGCAAGCGUUAUCCGGAUUCAUUGGGCGUAAAGCGAGCGCAGACGGUUGAUUAAGUCUGAUGUGAAAGCCCGGAGCUCAACUCCGGAAUGGCAUUGGAAACUGGUUAACUUGAGUGCAGUAGAGGUAAGUGGAACUCCAUGUGUAGCGGUGGAAUGCGUAGAUAUAUGGAAGAACACCAGUGGCGAAGGCGGCUGUCUGGUCUGUAACUGACGCUGAGGCUCGAAAGCAUGGGUAGCGAACA
rnacentral:rRNA from 1 species